UUCUUCACUUCCAACCCCCUUCUCUCUUCGCAAACCCUGGAAACUAUUCUAUCAAUGUUGCCAUUUUCGUCGUUGGUGGAAGUGAGCGUUGUUGGGCGUUGUGGAUGCUCUCUGGCGGCCUUUUUCAUUGAAAGGUGGCGGCAUCUGCCCCGCUGUGAACUCGAUGCUUCUCCGCUCAGUCAAGGACCGAAGUCGCUAAGCUCUCUCUCACUCUCUUUGUCUGUUAGGGUUUUACUCUAGGUCUAGACAUAGCUACUCUAAACUCACAAGGUCCGAUUCUGAAACGCAGCUACGGCGAGGAAGGGGUAAGCGUCUAGGUCAUGCGGUUGUCGGCGUCAAAGGAUGAGGAUUCUGCCAUGGAUCAACUCUUCAUCCAUGUCGACGUCUCCAAACCAUUGCGGAAGGAAUCAUUGAUUUUCCUUUUCGUACGCGGACGCUCUGGGGGUUCACUCUACUUCCAUGAGGCAUCGCUGGAGUUUGUUCCCCAAAGAAUGAAUUAUUAUCUCUAUCUAUCUUCUAUUUGGAUUAUAGGAAAAACAUUCUGAGAGGUAACUGUCCUUGAUCUCUAGAUGCAAUUCAAUAUUUGCAUAAUCGUCAAUCCAUGCUGCAAAUGUGGUGGAUCUGAAGUUAUUCGAUUGUCAUGCCUUUGAAGAAGGAUAAGCCUCCUCUACCCCGAGCCCGCUAAAUUUGGCGGUGGCAAGCAACCUUCCAUUCUCUUCGAGCGUACGAGGAGCCUGUUGGAACUAAGAGCAGCCUCACUGACAAUGAGAUUGUUUCCUAAAUCAAUGAUGGAAUUUUGGUGUUCUCCAAGGCAAGACCUAAUGGCGGACAAGCUUUCAAAGUUUGA